GAUCAUGGCUCAGGAUGAACGCUGGCGGCGUGCUUAACACAUGCAAGUCGAACGGGAAACAUUUCAUUGAGGCUUCGGCGGAUUUGGUCUGUUUCUAGUGGCGGACGGGUGAGUAACGCGUGGGUAACCUGCCUUAUACUGGGGGAUAACAGCCAGAAAUGGCUGCUAAUACCGCAUAAGCGCACGGGGCCGCAUGGCCCUGUGUGAAAAACUCCGGUGGUAUAAGAUGGACCCGCGUUGGAUUAG
rnacentral:rRNA from 1 species